rnacentral:lncRNA from 1 species
ACCUCCACCAGGGCCACCACCAGGGCCACCACCUGGACCUCCACCAGGGCCACCACCAGGGCCACCCCCAGGACCUUCUCCAGAACCUCCACCAGGACCACCCCCAAGACCUUCUCCAGGGCCACCCCCAGGACCUUCUCCAGGGCCACCCCCAGGACCUUCUCCAGGACCUCCACCAGGACCUCCACCAGGGCCACCACCAGGACCUUCUCCAGGACCACCACCAGGGCCUCCACCAGGGCCUCCACCAGGGCCUCCACCAGGGCCUCCACCAGGGCCACCCCCAGGGCCACCACCAGGACCUCCACCAGGGCCACCACCAGGAUCUUCUCCAGGACCACCCCCAGGGCCACCACCAGGACCUUCUCCAGAACCACCACCAUGACCUCCAGCAGGACCUCCACCAGGACCACCACCAGGACCACACCCAGGACCUUCUCCAGAACCUCCACCAGGACCUCCACCAGGACCACCCCCAGGACCAUCCCUGGAACCACCACCAGGACCUCCCCCAGGAUCUCCACCCGGAUGGGGCCGGGAGCGUCUCCCAGGAGCUCCAAGGCCACGGAUCCACAUUUGAGGAGAUCUUCCAGGUGUCCAUGGGUGUGGACAUCCCACCCAAGCCCAUGGCCAAGGUUGAGGACAUUCUCCAGGUGUCCACUGAUGGGUCCACCCCACCCAAGUCCAUGACGGUGGCCGGGAGCAUCUCCCAGGAGCUCCAAGGCCAUGGAGCCACGUUUGAAGGCAUCUCCCAGGUGUCCAUGGAUGAGGACAUCCCACCCCAGGCCGUUCCCAUGGACCAAAGCUUUGAGUUCCUCUUUGGGAGCAUCUCCCACACGUCCAUGGGUGGGGACAUCUCCUCAUGGACAGUGACCAGGGAUGGGGACAUCUCCCCCAGACCUGUGACCAUGGAUGGUCCCACCAUGGAUGGUCCCACCAUGGAUGGUCCCAACUCCCCCAGACCCAUGACCAUGGAUGGUCCCACCAUGGAAGGUCCCACCACGAAUGGUCCCACCACAGAUGGUCCCACCACAGAUGGUCCCACCACAGACGGUCCCAUCUCCCCCGGACCCCAAGUCCCCAAACUCAGCCAGGAGGAAGAGGAAGGUGCCGGCAACGAUGGCGACCACCACGCCAACGAUGACCGUGAUGACCACCAUGACCUCAGUGACCACCAUGACCACCAUGACCACCAUGACCUCAGUGACCACCAUGACCACCAUGACCACAAUGACCAUGAUGACCAUGGUGGCUCCUCCUAUGAGAAUGAAGAAAAGGAGAACCUGGAGGAGAACCUGGAUGAGAACAACCUGGAGGAGAAACUGGAGGAGAACCUGGAGGAGAAGAACCUGGAUGAGAAGAACUUGGAGGAGAACCUGGGUGAGAACCUGGAUAAGGAGAACCUGGAGGACAACCUGGAGGAGAAUCUGAAGGAGAACCUGGAGGAAAUCCUGGAGGAGAAGAACCUGGAGGAGAACCUGGAUGAGAAACUGGAUAAGGAGAACCCAGAGGAGAACCUGGAGGAGAACCUGGAUGAGAAGAACCUGGAGGAGAAACUGGAUGAGAACCCAGAGGAAAACCUGGAUGAGAACCUGGAGGAGAACCUGGAGAAGAAGAACCUGGAGGAGAACCUGGAUAAGGAGAACCUGGAUGAGAACCUGGAGGAGAACCCGGAUGAGAACCUGGAUGAGGAGAACCACGAUGCCGAAGACGAGAACGACGAAGACGAUGAAGAUGAAGAUGAUGAAGAUGAAGAUGAAGAUGAAGAUGAAGACGAUGAAGAUGAAGAUGAAGAUGAUGAAGACCAGGAGGAGGAGGAGGAGCCCCAUUUCCACACCAACCCCCUGUUCCAGCACCUGCUGCCCCCGGGGGUGCCCCCCUGGCGCCCCCACGGUGAGCGGGGUCACCCCAAAAUCCUGGGGGGGUUGGGAGACCCCAAAAUCCCCACCCGGAACCCCAAAAUCCCACAUGGGACCCCG